rnacentral:rRNA from 1 species
UACGUAGGGGGCUAGCGUUGUCCGGAUUUAUUGGGCGUAAAGCGCGUGUAGGCGGCCAGGUAGGUCCGCUGUGAAAACUCGAGGCUCAACCUCGAGAUGUCGGCGGAAACCAUCUGGCUAGAGUCCGGAAGAGGAGACUGGAAUUUACGGUGUAGCGGUGAAAUGCGUAGAUAUCGUAAGGAAGACCAGUGGCGAAGGCGGGUCUCUGGACAGUUCCUGACGCUGAGGCACGAAGGCCAGGGGAGCAAACGGG